rnacentral:piRNA from 1 species
UGCAAGGUCGCUGAGGCAGUGCUGUGCCCUAU